rnacentral:lncRNA from 1 species
AGAUAAGCUGAUAAACCAGACUGGAAAUGGGGUAAGAGUCCUUCCAUGGAUGUUCAAGGCCAGUUUCUGAAGAUUCAGCGGUCAUCUGAAUGCCUGAAAGGCCACCGAGCGGUCUGCAAAUGAGGAACCGAACACAGGGACAAAACCACCCUGACAAAGAGGAUGGCCAAGUUAUCUAUUCUCUGCAGGAUGUCUUCCGUUACCUCUUGCUUUUGGUUAUGGUGUUUCAUCGUGGCGAUAAAAAACCUGACCAGGACAACUACCAAGAUGGAGAUUCAGUGACCUCCUUAGACUCGGAUUUCUAUAACGACUUUGCCAGAACAAGUCAGCAGCAGAGCAGAGCCACGUGAGGAGAGUGGAAAGCAUCUGGGAUCUGACUCAAGCAAUGUCCAGGAUGGACUUGGAUGGAGUCAUACUUUGAUUUGGUGUUUGAAUCAAAGAUGGAUGCAAUUCAUAUCACCUCCGUGGAAGAAAUGUUCAUGAAACUCAAGUAAUGUAGUUUCUUUCGUCUUCCUUUAAAAACUGUGGCACAAUAAACUUGUUAGUUUUACCACCUUUGCCAUUUCCAAGUAUAUAGUUCAGAGAAGUGUUAAGUGCUAUGGGUGUUUUAUACCCAUUACUUUUAUCUAUCUGCAGAAGGUUUCCAUCACUUGAAUUGAAAUUCUACCUAUCUGAUAAUGACAGCCCAUUUUCCUUCCCCACGAGCCUAUGGUGACUAGUGUCUUCACGUAAGUGAAAGCACACAGUAUUUAUCCUCCUGUGUGCCUGUCUUGUUCACUCAGUGUGUCUUCACAGAUCCCUUGUUUAUUUCCUCUUGGAGAAAGUCUGUUCAAGUUCCCUGCCAAUUUUUAAUAAAGCUACCGCUUGAUGUCAGGUCACAGGAGCUCCUCGUGUAUUCUGGACUCCAAUCCCUCAUUAGAUAUGUGCUUUAUAAACAUUUCCUCACUUCUCUGAUUUGCCGCUUUUGUUCUUUUGGUAGAAUCUUUCGAUAUGUUCUGGAAUG